GAUGAACGCUGGCGGCGUGCCUAAUACAUGCAAGUCGAGCGAACCACUUCGGUGGUGAGCGGCGAACGGGUGAGUAACACGUAGGUGAUCUGCCCAUCAGACGGGGACAACGAUUGGAAACGAUCGCUAAUACCGGAUAGGACGAAAGUUUAAAGGUGCUUCUGGCACCGCUGAUGGAUGAGCCUGCGGCGCAUUAGCUAGUUGGUAGGGUAAAGGCCUACCAAGGCGACGAUGCGUAGCCGACCUGAGAGGGUGAACGGCCACACUGGGACUGAGACACGGCCCAGACUCCUACGGGAGGCAGCAGUAGGGAAUCUUCGGCAAUGGGCGAAAGCCUGACCGAGCAACGCCGCGUGAAUGAUGAAGGCCUCGGUUGUAAAUUACUGUUAUUAAGGGAAGAACGACUUAGUAGGAAUAGGGCUAGAGUGUGACGGUA
rnacentral:rRNA from 1 species